AGCAGCCGCGGUAAUUCCAGCUCCAAUAGCGUAUAUUAAAGUUGUUGCAGUUAAAAAGCUCGUAGUUGAACUUCGGGGUUUACCCAUUGGUCAGGCUUAAUUGUCUGUACUGGUGAGAUGAAUCUCUACCUUCUGAGGAACUUUCAUGCCAUUUAUUUGGUGUGAUGGGAAAUCAGGACUGUUACUUUGAAAAAAUUAGAGUGUUUAAAGCAGGCUAACGUCUGAAUACAUUAGCAUGGAAUAAUGAAAUAGGACGGACUGAUUCUAUUUCGUUGGUUUCUAGGAUCACCGUAAUGAUUAAUAGGGAUAGUUGGGGGCAUUAGUAUUCAAUUGUCAGAGGUGAAAUUCUUGGAUUUAUUGAAGACUAACUACUGCGAAAGCAUUUGCCAAGGAUGUUUUCAUUAAUCAAGAACGAAAGUUAGGGGAUCGAAGACGAUCAGAUACCGUCGUAGUCUUAACCAUAAACUAUGCCGACUAGGGAUCGGACGAAGUUAAUUUUAUAAUGACGCGUUCGGCACCU
rnacentral:ncRNA from 2 species